rnacentral:lncRNA from 1 species
AUUACAAUUCAGUUCAUACUAAACAAAAACUAUAAAAUAGUAAAAUAUAAUACACUAAUAAAGAUCAAUGUAAAGUGAAUUGUUGGAGAUUCAUUCUUCAGUGGUAUCUAAAUGCUAUCCCAAUUAGAUCUCUACAAUCUAAGGGAUCUGAUUGUAUAAUUCGAUCCAAUCCAAUCUUCAAGGAAAGUUGCUUUAAAUGGAAUUGUCUUCAAGGCCAGGCUUGUAUACAUACAACAUAUCAAUAUUAUUCAAAGUCUAAAUAUUUUAUUUCAAUAAAUUACCAACUUCAAAUAUGGCAAGUACCAGUUUGUCACAGUGAUUGUGGAAGUGACCACUUCCAUGAUUGUGGAAGUGACCACUUCCAUGUGGCACUUAGGCAACCAUUUUAAAUAUUUGCCCCAAUAGAAUUAAAUCGAAUUUGGACAAACAUAACGUAUUAAUAAGAU